AUGCCCUCUGCUGCUCCCCGUUGCCUUCCGUCGACCGAGCUCGACCGCGCACGCGUCCGCGGCUCCGGCCACGCGUCCGCGGCGACGGCCAGCUCGGCACCUCACCCCCGCCUAUAUAAUGGCCCUCCUUGCUGCCCCCGAGCACCGCAUCGCCCUCAACUCACUCACAGCAGCCUCCCCGACCACUCCCCGGAGCUCGAGCCGCCCUCUUCGCCUCUAUUUGCCACCAUGGCCACCGCUCUCUCCGGCUUAAAUUCCAGCGAGCCCGAGCCCCAUUCCCUCUUCCACCACCACCUGAAGACCCCCCGUAGUCCGGCGAGCCGCCCCGCCCCCUUUUCUCUUCACCAUACCACCGGUGGCCUCGUCUCCAACCUCGGCCGAAGUCCACCCCAGCCGGAGUCCUAG
rnacentral:rRNA from 1 species